GGCCAAGAGCUUUCCUUUCCAGCCCCGCCGCUGAAGGAGUGAGGCUUACCGGGCACCGUUGGCCAUGCGGCGAGGGCGGCGGCGCCGGAGGCCCGAUCGCCGAACCUUCGGAGGUGCAACAGAGAUGAGUUUUGAAGAUAGAAGAUUGUAAUAAAUUUUUUCUAACAGUUCGUUAAUGAGGAUAACUGAAAAACUGGGGAAACAACUGCAACUGCAUGUAAUGAGGUAAUUGCUUGCCAAUUAAAGUUUUAAUCUUCAGCUGUGGGGUUCAAAAAUCCUCCAUUACUUCAAGAGUAUGGCAUUCGACAUUUUGGAAGGAAAUGAAGAGGAAUUAAUCAAGAAGACAUGAAGCAAAUGACCAAAAUUUGUUUUAUUGAUAUCACAAUAAAUUAUAUAGAAAAACA